GGCUCAGAAUGAACGCUGGCGGCGUGCUUAACACAUGCAAGUCGCACGAGAACACCUCAGCUUGCUGGGGUAAGUAAAGUGGCGCACGGGUGAGUAACGCGUGGGUAAUCUGCCCUCGAAUCUGGGAUAACCCCGCGAAAGCGGGGCUAAUACCGGAUGAAAUCCAGUUAGCUUUGGCUAUAUGGAUCAAAGGUGGCCUCUGCAUGCAAGUUACUGUUUGGGGAUGAGCCCGCGUACCAUUAGCUUGUUGGUGGGGUAAAGGCCCACCAAGGCGACGAUGGUUAGCUGGUCUGAGAGGAUGAUCGGCCACACUGGAACUGGAACACGGUCCAGACUCCUACGGGAGGCAGCAGUGAGGAAUUUUGCGCAAUGGGGGUAACCCUGACGCAGCAACGCCGCGUGAGUGAUGAAGGCCUUCGGGUCGUAAAGCUCUAUCAAGUGGGAAGAACCCAUUCCGGCACAACAAGCCGGGGUGCUGACGGUACCACUGAAGGAAGCACCGGCUAACUCCGUGCCAGCAGCCGCGGUAAUACGGAGGGUGCGAGCGUUAUUCGGAAUUACUGGGCGUAAAGGGCGCGUAGGCGGCCGAUUAAGUCAGAUGUGAAAUCCCGGGGCUUACCCCCGGAAGUGCAUUUGAUACUGAACGGCUUGAGUAUGGGAGAGGGAAGUGGAAUUCCUGGUGUAGCGGUGAAAUGCGUAGAUAUCGGGAGGAACACCGGUGGCGAAGGCGACUUCCUGGACCAAUACUGACGCUGAGGCGCGAAGGCGUGGGGAGCAAACACGAUUAGAUACCCUGGUAGUCCACGCAGUAANCCGGUGAUCACUAGGUGUAGCCGGGUAUUGACCCCUGCUGUGCCGGGAGUUAACGCAUUAAGUGUUCCGCCUGGGGAGUACGGCCGCAAAGGUUUAAACUCAAAAGGAAUUGACAGGGGGCCCGCACAAGCGGUGGAGCAUGUGGUUUAAUUCGACGCAACCGCGAAGAACCUUACCUUGGAUUUGACAUCUCCGGGAAUCCCGCGGAAACGCGGGAGUGCCCUUCGGGGAGCCCGAAGACAGGUGCUGCAUGGCUGUCGUCAGCUCGUGUCGUUGAGAUGUUGGGUUAAGUCCCGCAACGAGCGCAACCCCUAUCUUCAGUUACCAGCGAGUAAAGUCGGGGACUCUGGAGAUACUGCCCCGGUCAACGGGGAGGAAGGUGGGGAUGACGUCAAGUCCUCAUGGCCUUUGUGUCCAGGGCUACACACGUGCUACAAUGGGCUGUACAGAGGGAAGCGAUCUCGCGAGGGUGAGCCGAUCCCAAAAAGCAGUCCUCAGUUCGGAUUGGAGUCUGCAACUCGACUCCAUGAAGCUGGAAU
rnacentral:rRNA from 1 species